ACCAGGAUGGCCGAGUGGUUAAGGCGUUGGACUUAAGUUCAAAUGUACGGAUGUACGCGUGGGUUCGAACCCCACUCCUGGUA
rfam:Nematostella vectensis strain CH2 x CH6 NEMVEscaffold_239_Cont20323, whole genome shotgun sequence.